AGGCUCUUCCGGGUGAGCGUCCUGCAGCCCGUGAAUCCCUGGUCCCGCCGAGACUUGGACCUGGUGCGAACUGGAGGCGAAGCGGGUGCACCCACAACCUAUAGGAAGGGCUGGCGGCGAGCUCUGAGCACUCGGGCGUCGGAGGGAACGGUGGGGCCGGGCGGAGCUGGCCUCGGGUCUGCGGAGGGUGGACGCGCGCUCUCCCUGUCUUUGGAGGGAGGGUUUCCUGUGGUCGGGAGGCGAGGCAGCCAGGGCAGGAUUGGGCUCCUGACCUGCAGGCCACGGGGCGAGCUCUCUCUAGGGCCCCGAUUUGCCCGAAGAAGGCGCUUGGUGAAGGUGAAAGGUUUACGCAUCCAAGUAGCUAGAGCCUCUUUCCAGAACUUCUGCUGAUGCACUUAGUCUUGCAGCCAUUGAUUACUAUAGCUCAGCGAAGUUCAGUUCAACUUUCGGAAGAAGGAUGUGAGCUGGAAUGGGCAGGGUCAAGAUUUGACAGGAAAAGACGCUUCACUGGAGGUAUCUGCGAGAGUCCUGGGUUGGAGGGAAGGCGUACUGGUUAUAAAUAAGGAAAUGAUGUCUUCAUCACUUCCUAAACACAUACAUGUCAUUCCCUACCAUCUCCACCCUCUGUUUAUUCAGAGCUGCACCAACCAUGUUCAUCACCUCACCUGGGAUUUACUGAGUUUACCCCUUACAGAGCUACACGAUAGGGGUAAAGGAAAGACUAAAAACCAAUUUAUCUUAUAUUAAAAUUACGACUUAGUAAAUAUUUUUUUCAGUAAUGCAGUUUGCUAGUGACAGAGCCAAUAACUGAAUUCUGGUCCUUUGAGUACCAGGUCAGGGCUUUCGUCAUCUACCACAUUUACGUUACCUACCACAAGAAGUUUCUUAGUAAAAGGUCCUCUUGUGAAACUGCAGCUAAGGGAAACCAAACUGUCAAAAAGACAAACACCUUAAAGCACUUUCAUUCAUUCUCUCUGGAUUCUGUCAUCUCAAGUGGCUAAACACAUUAGUAGGAAAACAGCUCUGCUUUCAACACUCUUGGCCCUUUCUCAAGAGAACCUGAAAAUGAAAAAAUUUCAGAGACCAGUUUCAUUCCAGGACCUGACUGUGAACUUCACCCAAGAGGAAUGGCAGCAACUGGACCCUGCUCAGAGGCUCCUGUACAGGGAUGUGAUGCUGGAGAACUACAGCAACUUGGUCUCUGUGGGGUAUCAUGUUAGCAAACCAGAUGUGAUUUUCAAAUUGGAGCAAGGAGAAGAGCCAUGGAUAGUGGAGGAAUUCUCAAAUCAGAACUACCCAGACGUUGAUGAUGCCUUAGAGAAGAACAAGGAAAUCCAAGAUAAACAUUUGACACAAACUGUAUUCUUCAGCAACAAAACACUGAUUACAGAAAGAGAGAAUGUAUUUGGGAAAACACUUAAUCUGGGCAUGAAUAGUGUUCCCUCAAGAAAAAUGCCCUAUAAAUGUAAUCCAGGAGGAAACAGUUUGAAAACUAAUUCAGAAGUAAUUGUUGCAAAGAAAAGCAAAGAAAACAGAAAGAUUCCUGAUGGAUACAGUGGAUUUGGGAAGCAUGAGAAAAGUCAUUUGGGAAUGAAAAAAUACAGAUACAAUCCAAUGAGGAAAGCCAGCAAUCAAAACGAAAAUCUUAUUCUGCACCAGAACAUUCAGAUUUUGAAACAACCGUUUGACUAUAAUAAAUGUGGGAAAACCUUCUUCAAGAGGGCAAUUCUCAUUACACAAAAGGGGAGACAGACUGAAAGGAAACCAAAUGAAUGUAAUGAAUGUAGGAAAACCUUUUCUAAGAGAUCUACCCUCAUUGUACAUCAGAGAAUUCAUACAGGGGAGAAACCGUAUGUUUGUAAUGAUUGUAGGAAAACUUUUCGUGUGAAGACAAGCCUCACACGACACCGAAGAAUUCAUACUGGAGAGAGACCCUAUGAAUGCAGUGAAUGCAGGAAAACCUUCAUUGACAAAUCUGCCCUUAUUGUACACCAGAAAAUUCAUGGAGGGGAGAAAUCCUAUGAGUGUAAUGAAUGUGGAAAGACCUUUUUUCGGAAGUCAGCCCUGGCUGAACAUUUCAGGUCACACACAGGGGAGAAGCCUUACGAAUGCAAGGAAUGUGGAAAUGCCUUCAGCAAGAAAUCGUAUCUUGUUGUACAUCAAAGAACUCACAGAGGAGAGAAGCCAAAUGAAUGUAAGGAAUGUGGGAAAACCUUCUUCUGUCAGUCAGCCCUUACUGCGCAUCAGAGAAUUCACACAGGGGAAAAACCCUAUGAAUGUAGUGAAUGUGAGAAAACCUUCUUUUGUCAGUCUGCCCUCAAUGUGCAUCGAAGAAGUCAUACAGGAGAGAAGCCCUAUGAAUGCAGUCAAUGUGGAAAAUUUUUAUGUACGAAAUCAGCCCUCAUUGCACAUCAGAUAACUCAUAGAGGAAAGAAGUCUUAUGAAUGUAAUGAAUGUGGGAAAUUUUUCUGCCAUAAGUCAACACUCACUAUACAUCAGAGAACACACACAGGAGAGAAACAUGGUGUGUUUAAUAAAUGUGGUAGAAUCUCCAUUGUGAAGUCAAACUGCAGUCAGUGUAAGAGAAUGAACACAAAGGAGAAUCUUUGUGAGUGUAGUGAACAUGGGCAUGCCGUCAGCAAAAACUCACACCUCAUUGUACAUCAGAGAACUAUAUGGGAGAGACCAUAUGAAUGUAAUGAAUGUGGGAGAACCUACUGCAGGAAGUCAGCCCUGACUCACCAUCAGAGAACACACACAGGACAGAGACCCUAUGAGUGUAAUGAAUGUGGGAAAACCUUCUGUCAGAAGUUCUCCUUUGUUGAACAUCAGCGAACUCACACUGGGGAGAAACCAUAUGAAUGUAAUGAAUGUGGGAAAUCCUUCUGCCAUAAGUCAGCCUUCAGAGUCCAUAGAAGAAUUCACACAGGAGAGAAACCAUAUGAAUGUAAUCAAUGUGGGAAAACCUACCGUCGCCUGUGGACUCUCACUGAACAUCAGAAAAUACACACAGGAGAGAAACCUUAUGAAUGUAACAAAUGUGAGAAAACAUUUCGCCACAAAUCAAACUUUCUUUUACAUCAGAAAUCCCACAAGGAAUAAGUUCCAACAAAGUAAUAAAUUGCAACAAAGCAACAAAUCAAAUAACUUACACAAUGCUAAACUGAAUUGUAGAGUAACUUGGCUAGGUGGUUCCGGCUCAAGGUCUUUGAGGUUGCUGUCAAGAUGUUGACCAGGGAUGCAGUCAUGUAAAGACUUGACGGGGCUGAAAGAUCCACUUCUACCAUGGCUCACUCCCACAGCUGUUAGCAGGAGACCUCAGUUCUUCAUCACAUGGACCUCUCCAUUGGGUUUCUUGAGUUCCUCACAACGUGGCAGCCGGCAUUGAUUCCUCAGAAUGAGUGAUCCAAAGCCACAGUUUCCCUUAUAACCUAGCUUUGGAAAACUAUCACUUUCACUGUACUUAAUUGGUCACACAGACCAACCUUGAUAUGUUGCGGAAGGGUAUCACACAGGAGCCUGAGUACCAGGAGGUAGAGACCUCUGGAGCCAUCUCACAGGCUAGCUACCAGAGGCAACCACCGUAAGAAUGCAGUGGUUUCAAGAAAGGUGAGAGGAGACGUGCUAAAAACAGGCCAAGCAAGUAGUGAAAGUGAACACUAAGAGAAUAAAGACAAGCUGGAACCCACAGACAAAGCUGUGGCAGUUUUUACUGUCUUCUACCUAAACGAUGUGGGUGUCCUACAGAGGUUGGUGCCAUUUGUGGUGUUGCUAAGCACACACAUAGCCCAGGAGCUGGAAGAGCUGGAGGAGAUCCUGGGGAAAGGAGAGCAGCCACAGGCUCAUCUACUGAGCCACGCCAACAAGAACCAGCAGGAGAGAUGGGGUUUCACUAUGUUGACCAGGCUGGUCUGGAACUCUUGACCUCAUGAACCACCUGCCUUGGCCAAAGAUUCAAGUCAGUGCAAUAAAAAAAGUACAUUUCUGAUCACAUCUCCAUUUCUUCAACAUUUACGUAUUUAUAUUUCCAAGAUAUUCCAUACAGCAUGAAUCCAUGAAGAAUUAGGCUUCGACUAAGAUUCUUUCUACAUUGAUCUCGAGUUUAGCAAAGGGAGCCUAUGAAUGAGCUGCCUUCCCUGAUGUCAGCACUGAAACUCGAGAAACAAGUUUCUCUGAAAUCUCUGGAUCAUCUUACAUUCUGGCGAGUUCUACCUUCUGUUAAUGAAGGUAGUCGUCUCUUUCCAACUAGAUGAGCUACGAUGCUUUACUGAAGAAUAUGAAGUUAGAAAAUUCAACUGGCAUUUUCAGGGAGUUUUGCAGAUAUUUGCACAGAAGGAGAAAAUUCUCCCAUGGGCAGUUGUGAACUAACAAGACCUUCCUUACCCAAAGACGCAAGAUUUGCUUUAGCCCCAACAUGCAAAGGGAGAAUUUGAGCAAAAAGACUUCAAGGCAUCUUGCAGAGGUGGUAGGCCUCUAUAUAAGACUUUAAACUCCUACAGAUGUGGAUUUGGAUCAGCAUGAUCUAAUUAUUCCAGCUAUUGACUCCUCAUCAAUCUACAUGGUGGCCAUACAUUCUGGAUAUAGACGGAGUUUCGCUCUGUCGCUCAGGCUGGAGUAAGUGGCACGAUCUUGGCUCACUGCAAGCUCCACCUCCUGGAUACAUGCCAUUCUCCCGCCUCAGGUUCCCGAGUAGCUGGGACUACAGGCGCUCGCCACCACGCCCGGCUAAUUGCUUCUGUAUUUUAGUAGAGACGGGGUUUCACCGUGUUAGCCAGGAUGUUCUCAAUCUCCUGACCUCAUGAUCCACCCACCUCAGCCUCCCAAAGUGCUGGGACAGGCUGGAGUGCAGUGGCACGAUCAUAGCUCACUACAGCCUUGACCACUCAGACUCACGUGAUCCUCCUACCUCAGCUUCCCAAGUAGCUGGGACUACAGGUGUGCACCACCAUGCCCAGCUAAUUUUUUCUAGUGUUUUUUGUUUGUUUGUUUGUUUUGUUUUUUUAGAGAUGGGGUUAUAUUAUGUUGCCCAGGAUGGUCUCAAACUCCUGGUCUCAAGUGAUCCUGCUGCCUUGGCUUCCCAAAGCACUGGGAUUACAGGCCUGAGCCACUGUGCUGGCUGGAGCUUACUGUUUUAAAGUUAUUAUUAUCAUAUCAUCAUCGGCAGAAAAGAAACAAUUGAUAUAAAAGUAUAUUGGCCUACAUAUCAUCUUAACCAUGGGAUCAGUUAAUUUUACCAAAAAUAGGUAUGUGGGAUAAAUAGUAACAGUGGAGGCUGCAGCUCCCAGAACAACAGCCACAAUAUCAGGAGCAGGACCUGCAGCAGCAGCUAUCCCACCCCAUCCCACAGUCACCACCCCCAUCCCUGGGGACGGGAAGAAGGAGUGGCAGUAGCUGCAGCAACAGCUGAACUAAACAGGUCACCUGCUGGUAUUUUGUGCAUGGGAUUUGUAAGGAAGGACAUAACUGUCGCCACUUGCAUUCCCUCUCUGACAGUCCACAUGGCGUAGUGGGCAAGUAUUUUCAGCGACGGUACUGUGUUUAUGGAGGCCGCUGCAGAUGUGAACACAGCAAGCCACUGAAACGAACAAGCAACCGCUACAGAUCUAACUACAAAAUCAUCCCUUGCUGCUUCCUCAAGUCUCUCAUUCAUAGUUGGACCGCUUGUGGAAAUGAAUACAGGCGAAGCUGAGUCAGACUCAAACUUUGCAACUGUAGGAGUGGGUUCAGAGGACUGGGUAGAUGCUGUUGAGUUUGUUCCUGGGCAACUCUACUGCAGCUGUACUGCCCCUUUCUGCAGUGACCAAGGGAGAAUCAGAGAAAGAGCAAACAGCUGUGAUAACAAAGAAGCCACUUUGCCCCUAGGCUGCAGUGGGAGAGAUGGAAAUGGGUAGAACUGUGUGUAUCUCCACAGAGAGUCAUGUGAUCAUGUAAGCUGCAGGUCCUACCUCCAAUGGAUGCUGCCCAGAGACCACAGCAUAUAAAAGUCUUGUCCUGAGGCCCAUGAGAAGGAAACGGAGCUCUCACUUGCUGUGCAGUGCAGCAAGGAUACGAUGUGUGGGAUCUGCAUGGAGGUGGUCUGUGAGAAAGCCAGCCCCAGUGAGCGUGGCUUUGGGAUCCUCUCCAGCUGCAGCCACGCCUACUGUCUCAAGUAUAUUCACAAGUGGAAGGGCACUAAGCUAUUUGAGAGCAAGAUCAUAGUGUCCUACCCAGAAUGCCGGAUCACAUCUAACUUUGUCAUUCCCAGUGAGUACCAGGCGGGAGAAAGAAGAGAAACAGAAACUCAUCCAGAAAGUCAAGGAGGCAAUGAGCAGCCAGGCGUGCAGGGAUUUUGAUGAAGGACAGGGGAGCUGCCCAUCUUGGGGGAUGUGUUUUUACAAGCAGGUAUUCCCUGAUGGCCACAGAAAGGAUACACAGAGACAGGCAAACAGAUACUGGGCCCAGUGAAGGAACCACUUCUCGGAGCUCAUUGAGGAAAGAGAGAACAAUGACCCCUUUGACAACAAUGAAGAAGAGGUUGUCACCUUUGAGCUGGGUGAGAUGUUGCUUAUGCUUUUGGCAGAUGGGGACGAUGAACUGACAGACUUUGAAAAUGAGUGGGACUUGUUCCAUGAUGACCUGGAAGAUUUUUAUGACUUGGCUCAGUAGCCACCUUGCGUGGCAUGUGAACUGGCCUGCUGACCUCAGACAGCAGCAGUCCCCUGUGGUGGUGUGACAGUGCCCGUGUUUCUCUCCUAGGCAGGCCUAUCAACUCCAGGUGCUGUCUUAAUAAUUUUUACCUAGGGCCUGUCUUCUCAAUCUGUGACCUUUCCCCAAGGAGUGUGUUAUUUUCUCUGUGGAAAAAAGUUUCAAAAAUAAAUCCUGAAGUUAGUGUUUUGUAACAUGAAUUUAACAGUCA